rnacentral:rRNA from 1 species
UUAAAACGCUCGUAGUCGGAUUUCGGGGCGGGCCCGCCGGUCUGCCGAUGGGUAUGCACUGGCGGGCGCGUCCCUCCUUCCGGGGGCUGGCCCUACUCUUAGCUGAGCGGGGUCGGAAGUCGGAUCGUUUACUUUGAAAAAAUCAGAGUGUUUCAAGCAGGCGUCUCCGCUCUUGCAUGGAUUAGCAUGGGAUGAUGAAAUAGGACUUUGGUGCUAUUUUGUUGGUUUCGAACACCGAAGUAAUGGUUAACAGGGACAGUCAGGGGCACUCGUAUUCCGCCGAGAGAGGUGAAAUUCUCAGACCAGCGGAAGACGAACCACUGCGAAAGCAUUUGCCAGGGAUGUUUUCAC